UACGUAGGGGGCUAGCGUUAUCCGGAAUUAUUGGGCGUAAAGAGCUCGUAGGCGGUCUGUCGCGUCGAUCGUGAAAACUUGGGGCUUAACCCUGAGCUUGCGGUCGAUACGGGCAUGACUGGAGUUCGGCAGGGGAGACUGGAAUUCCUGGUGUAGCGGUGAAAUGCGCAGAUAUCAGGAGGAACACCGAUGGCGAAGGCAGGUCUCUGGGCCACUACUGACGCUGAGAAGCGAAAGCAUGGGGAGCGAACAGG
rnacentral:rRNA from 1 species